AUACGUAGGUGGCGAGCGUUAUUCGGAUUUACUGGGCGUAAAGGGUCCGCAGGGGGUUUGCCAAGUCCGAUGUGAAAUUUCCCGGCUCAACCGGGACACUGCAUUGGAAACUGGCGAACUUGAGUACAUGAUGGGAGAGCGGAAUUCCUGGUGUAGCGGUGGAAUGCGUAGAUAUCAGGAAGAACACCGAUGGCGAAGGCGGCUCUCUGGCAUGUUACUGACCCUCAUGGACGAAAGCGUGGGUAGCAAACAGGAUUAGAUACCCUGGUAGUCCACGCUGUAAACGUUGUGCACUAGAUGUGGGCCGUUUCGAUCCGGUCCGUGUCCAAGCUAACGCAUUAAGUGCACCGCCUGGGGACUACGGCCGCAAGGCUAAA
rnacentral:rRNA from 1 species